rnacentral:rRNA from 1 species
AGCAGCCGCGGUAAUUCCAGCUCCAAUAGCGUAUAUUAAAGUUGUUGCAGUUAAAAAGCUCGUAGUUGAACUUCGGGAUUUGCCCAUUGGUCAGGCUUAACUGUCUGCACUGGUGUGACGAGUUCCUACCUUCUGAGGAAUCUCCAUGUCAUUCAGUUGGUGUGGGGGGAAAUCAGGACUGUUACUUUGAAAAAAUUAGAGUGUUUAAAGCGGGCAUCCGUCUGAAUACAUUAGCAUGGAAUAAUAAAAUAGGACGGUUUGGUUCUAUUUUAUUGGUUUCUAGGAUCACCGUAAUGAUUAAUAGGGAUAGUUGGGGGCAUUAGUAUUCAAUUGUCAGAGGUGAAAUUCUUGGAUUUAUUGAAGACUAACUACUGCGAAAGCAUUUGCCAAGGAUGUUUUCAUUAAUCAAGAACGAAAGUUAGGGGAUCGAAGACGAUCAGAUACCGUCGUAGUCUUAACCAUAAACUAUGCCGACUAGGGAUCGGACGAAGUUAAUUUUUAAUGUACUCGU